rnacentral:lncRNA from 1 species
AGGGCUUGGCUUGCUCCCAGGCUGUCUUUCUUAGUUGCUCUAAUCAAUGAAGCAGAAAGGGUCCUUUCUACAGAUGCCGGCAAAAUUUUUAACAACUGGAAUUCUCUCUGCCCAGCUCUGAAGUGGGCAAGCUUAACCUCUAUAAACCUCAGUUUCCUUUUCUGCAAGUCCAGGGAAGACCUAGAUGGUCUUUUCCAGCUAUAAAAUUUCCAGUGUGAUCCAAAGUCACACUGAGGGUUCAGUGACAGAGCUGGGACUUGAGCCUAAGUUUCUGACUUUUAAAGCAAUCAGUCCUUACAGAACUACAGCAAACCACCUCUAAUGAAAAAGAAUUUGUGGUAUCAUUCUAACCUGGCUCCUGGAUGCUUUAAACCUGUGA